CCUACGGGAGGCAGCAGUAGGGAAUAUUGCUCAAUGGGGGAAACCCUGAAGCAGCAACGCCGCGUGGAGGAUGAAGGUUUUAGGAUUGUAAACCCCUUUUGUUAGAGAAGAAUAUGACGGUAUCUAACGAAUAAGCACCGGCUAACUUCGUGCCAGCAGCCGCGGUAAUACGGAGGGUGCAAGCGUUACUCGGAAUCACUGGGCGUAAAGGGUGCGUAGGCGGGGUAGUAAGUCAGAUGUGAAAUCCUGUGGCUUAACUACAGAACUGCAUUUGAAACUGUUACUCUGGAGUGUGGGAGAGGUAGGUGGAAUUCUUGGUGUAGGGGUGAAAUGCGUAGAUAUCAAGAGGAAUACUCAUUGCGAAGGCGACCUGCUGGAACAUUACUGACGCUGAGGCACGAAAGCGUGGGGAGCAAACAGGAUUAGAUACCCCAGUAGUC
rnacentral:rRNA from 1 species